rnacentral:rRNA from 1 species
UGGGGAAUUUUCCGCAAUGGGCGAAAGCCUGACGGAGCAAUACCGCGUGAGGGAGGAAGGCUCUUGGGUUGUAAACCUCUUUUCUCAGGGAAGAACACAAUGACGGUACCUGAGGAAUAAGCAUCGGCUAACUCCGUGCCAGCAGCCGCGGUAAUACGGAGGAUGCAAGCGUUAUCCGGAAUGAUUGGGCGUAAAGCGUUCGUAGGUGGUCCUUCAAGUCUGCUGUCAAAGCGCAGGGCUUAACUCUGUAAAGGCGGUGGAAACUGAAGAGCUAGAGUGCGGUAGGGGUAGAGGGAAUUCCCGGUGUAGCGGUGAAAUGCGUAGAGAUCGGGAAGAACACCAGCAGCGAAAGCGCUCUACUGGGCCUGCACUGACACUGAGGGACGAAAGCUAGGGGAGCGAAUGGGAUUAGAUACCCCAGUAGUCCUAGCCGUAAACGAUGGAUACUAGGUGUUGCCUGUAUCGACCCGGGCAGUGCCGUAGCUAACGCGUUAAGUAUCCCGCCUGGGGAGUACGCGCGC